rnacentral:misc_RNA from 1 species
CAGUCGUAACAAGGUUUCCGUAGGUGAACCUGCGGAAGGAUCAUUACUGAGAUAGGGUUCUUUUGGGCCCGACCUCCAACCCUUUGUUUAAACUACUUUGUUGCUUUGGCAGGCCCGCUCUUCGGAGCCGCUGGGGGCGUUCAGUCGCCUCUGGUCAGUGCUUGCCAGUAGCCAAUUUAAAUUCUUUUUAAUUAUGUCGUCUGAAUAAUAAUAAUAAAUUUAAUUAAA